GGAUGUGAGGGCGAUCUGGCUGCGACAUCUGUCACCCCAUUGAUCGCCAGGGUUGAUUCGGCUGAUCUGGCUGGCUAGGCGGGUGUCCCCUUCCUCCCUCACUGCUCCAUGUGCGUCCCUCCCGAAGCUGCGCGCUCGGUCGAAGAGGACGACCUUCCCUGAAUAGAGGAGGACCGGUCUUCGGUCAAGGGUAUACGAGUAGCUGCGCUCCCCCGCAGAACCUCCAAACAAGCUCUCAAAUCAGUAUACAGAUCGAUAGAUGUAU
rnacentral:sRNA from 1 species